AGUGAACGCUGGCGGUAGGCCUAACACAUGCAAGUCGAACGGCAGCACAGUAAGAGCUUGCUCUUACGGGUGGCGAGUGGCGGACGGGUGAGGUAUACAUCGGAAUCUACUUUUUCGUGGGGGAUAACGUAGGGAAACUUACGCUAAUACCGCAUACGACCUACGGGUGAAAGCAGGGGAUCUUCGGACCUUGCGCGAGUGAAUGAGCCGAUGUCGGAUUAGCUCGUUGGCGGGGUAAAGGCCCACCAAGGCGACGAUCCGUAGCUGGUCUGAGAGGAUGAUCAGCCACACUGGAACUGAGACACGGUCCAGACUCCUACGGGAGGCAGCAGUGGGGAAUAUUGGACAAUGGGCGCAAGCCUGAUCCAGCCAUACCGCGUGGGUGAAGAAGGCCUUCGGGUUGCAAAGCCCUUUUGUUGGGAAAGAAGAGCAGCAGGUUAAUACCCCGCUGUUCUGACGGUACCCAAAGAAUAAGCACCGGCUAACUUCGUG
rnacentral:rRNA from 1 species